GUCUCCGUUAAUGAUUUUAGGUGCUUGCACUUGAAAGAUUUAACAUUGAGACGAGUGGCGAACUGGUGAGUAACACGUGGGUAACCUGCCCUUGAAGUAGGGGAUAACACUUGGAAACAGGUGCUAAUACCGUAUAACAACCAAAACCACCUGGUUUUGGUUUAAAAGACGGCUUCGGCUGUCACUUUAGGAUGGACCCGCGGCGUAUUAGCUUGUUGGUAAGGUAACGGCUUACCAAGGCGAUGAUACGUAGCCGACCUGAGAGGGUAAUCGGCCACAUUGGGACUGAGACACGGCCCAAACUCCUACGGGAGGCAGCAGUAGGGAAUCUUCCACAAUGGACGAAAGUCUGAUGGAGCAACGCCGCGUGAGUGAUGAAGGGUUUCGGCUCGUAAAACUCUGUUGUUGGAGAAGAACAGGUGUCAGAGUAACUGUUGACAUCUUGACGGUAUCCAACCAGAAAGCCACGGCUAACUACGUGCCAGCAGCCGCGGUAAUACGUAGGUGGCAAGCGUUGUCCGGAUUUAUUGGGCGUAAAGCGAGCGCAGGCGGUUUUUUAGGUCUGAUGUGAAAGCCUUCGGCUUAACCGGAGAAGUGCAUCGGAAACCGGGAGACUUGAGUGCAGAAGAGGACAGUGGAACUCCAUGUGUAGCGGUGAAAUGCGUAGAUAUAUGGAAGAACACCAGUGGCGAAGGCGGCUGUCUGGUCUGUAACUGACGCUGAGGCUCG
rnacentral:rRNA from 1 species